rnacentral:rRNA from 1 species
AGACGGAGGGAGCUAGCGUUGUUCGGAAUUACUGGGCGUAAAGGGCGCGUAGGCGGCCUUUCAAGUUAGGCGUGAAAGCCCUGGGCUUAACCUAGGAAUUGCGCUUAAUACUGGAAGGCUCGAGAUCGGUAGAGGGAAGUGGAAUUCCUAGUGUAGAGGUGAAAUUCGUAGAUAUUAGGAAGAACACCAGAGGCGAAGGCGGCUUCCUGGGCCGAUACUGACGCUGAGGCGCGAAAGCGUGGGGAGCAAACGGGAUUAGAUACCCCGGUAGUCC